rnacentral:misc_RNA from 1 species
UCCAGGUUAUCCCUGGCGGUCUCCUGCGAGUUCCCAACUGAAUGAUGGCAACACAGGACAAGGGUUGCGCUCGUUGCGGGACUUAACCCAACACCUCACGACACGAGCUGACGACAGCCAUGCAGCACCUCGACUGGACCUCCUUGCGGGGUAGCGAUGUUUCCACCGCCGUUGACCAGCCGUUCGAGCCUAGGUAAGGUUCUUCGCGUUGCGUCGAAUUGAACCACAUGCUCCACCGCUUGUACGGGCCCCCGUCAAUUCCUUUGAGUUUUAGCCUUGCGGCCGUACUCCCCAGGCGGAGUGCUUAUUGCGUUAGCGUCGCCACGGCAGGGGUCAAAACCCGCCACAGCUAGCACUCAUCGUUUACAGCGUGGACUAC